GACGAACGCUGGCGGCGUGCCUAAUACAUGCAAGUUGAGCGCUGAAGGUUGGUACUUGUACCAACUGGAUGAGCAGCGAACGGGUGAGUAACGCGUGGGGAAUCUGCCUUUGAGCGGGGGACAACAUUUGGAAACGAAUGCUAAUACCGCAUAAAAACUUUAAACACAAGUUUUAAGUUUGAAAGAUGCAAUUGCAUCACUCAAAGAUGAUCCCGCGUUGUAUUAGCUAGUUGGUGAGGUAAAGGCUCACCAAGGCGAUGAUACAUAGCCGACCUGAGAGGUGGAUGGGCCAAAUGGGGACUGGAACCCGGCCCAAACCCCUCCGGGAGGCAGCAGGAGGGAAUCUUCGGCAAGGGAGGAAAGUCUGACCGAGCAACGCCGCGUGGGGGAAGAAGGUUUUGGGAUCGUAAAACUCUGUUGGUAGAGAAGAACGUGGGGGGGGGGGGAAAGCUCAUAAAGUGACGGUAACUACCCAAAAAGGGACGGCUAACUCCGU
rnacentral:rRNA from 1 species